CAGCAGCCACGGGAAUACAGAGGGUGCGAGCGUUAAUCGGAUUUACUGGGCGUAAAGCGUGCGUAGGCGGCUUCUUAAGUCGGAUGUGAAAUCCCUGAGCUUAACUUAGGAAUUGCAUUCGAUACUGGGAAGCUAGAGUAUGGGAGAGGAUGGUAGAAUUCCAGGUGUAGCGGUGAAAUGCGUAGAGAUCUGGAGGAAUACCGAUGGAGAAGGCAGCCAUCUGGCAUAAUACUGACGCUGAGGUACGAAAGCAUGGGGAGCAAACAGGAUUAGAUACCCGCGUAGUCCCUGUCUUUUAUAC
rnacentral:rRNA from 1 species